UACAGAGGUCCCAAGCGUUGUUCGGAUUCAUUGGGCGUAAAGGGUGCGUAGGUGGCGCGCUAAGUCAGGUGUGAAAUUUCGGAGCUUAACUCCGAAACUGCAUUCGAUACUGCGGUGCUUGAGGACUGGAGAGGAGACUGGAAUUCAUGGUGUAGCAGUGAAAUGCGUAGAGAUCAUGAGGAAGACCAGUGGCGAAGGCGGGUCUCUGGACAGUUCCUGACACUGAGGCACGAAGGCCCAGGGGAGCAAACGGG
rnacentral:rRNA from 1 species